ACGGUGAGUGGAUGAAAGCUCCGGCGGCAUAGGAUGGGCCUGCGGCGUAUCAGGUUGUAGGGGGUGUAACGUACCCUCUAGCCCUCUACGCGUACGGGUGUUGGGAGACAUAGCCCGGAGAUGGAUUCUGAGACACGAAUCCAGACCCUACGGGGUGCAGCAGGCGCGAAAACUUGGCAAUGCGAGAAAUCGUGACCAGGGAACUCCAAGUGCAUCGGGUAAGACCGGUGCUUUUCUUGACUCUAAAUAGGUCUUGGAAUAAGGGGUGGGUAAGGACGGUGCCAGCCGCCGCGGUAAUACCGGCGCCUCAAGUGGUAGUCGCUUUUAUUGGGCCUAAAACGUCCGUAGCCGGUCUGAUACAUUCGUGGGUAAAUCAACCAGCUUAACUGGUUGAAUUCUGCGAGGACGGUCAGACUUGGGACCGGGAGAGGUGUGGGGUACGCUCAGGGUAGGGGUAAAAUCCUGUCAUCCUGAGCGGACCACCUGUUGCGAAGGCGCCACACUAGAACGGAUCCGACGGUCAGGGACGAAGCCUAGGGGCACGAACCGGAUUAGAUACCCGGGUAGUCCUAGGUGUAAACGCUGUGGACUUGAUGUUGGGGGUGCUCCGAGCACUCUCAGUGUCGAAGCGAAGGUGAUAAGUCCACUGCCUGGGAAGUACGGUCGCAAGGCUGAAACUUAAAGGAAUUGGCGGGGGAGCACCGCAACCUGAGGAUUGUGCGGUUUAAUUGGACUCAACGCCGGGA
rnacentral:rRNA from 1 species